rnacentral:rRNA from 1 species
GACGAACGCUGGUGGCGUGCUUAACACAUGCAAGUCGAACGAUGAAGCCUAGCUUGCUAGGUGGAUUAGUGGCGAACGGGUGAGCAAUACGUGAGUAACCUACCUUUAACUCUGGGAUAAGCCUGGGAAACUGGGUCUAAUACCGGAUACGACCAAUCUCCGCAUGGGGUGUUGGUGGAAAGCGUUAUGUAGUGGUUAUAGAUGGGCUCACGGCCUAUCAGCUUGUUGGUGAGGUAACGGCUCACCAAGGCGACGACGGGUAGCCGGCCUGAGAGGGUGACCGGCCACACUGGGACUGAGACACGGCCCAGACUCCUACGGGAGGCAGCAGUGGGGAAUAUUGCACAAUGGGCGCAAGCCUGAUGCAGCGACGCCGCGUGAGGGAUGACGGCCUUCGGGUUGUAAACCUCUGUUAGCAGGGAAGAAGAGAGAUUGACGGUACCUGCAGAGAAAGCGCCGGCUAACUACGUGCCAGCAGCCGCGGUAAUACGUAGGGCGCGAGCGUUGUCCGGAAUUAUUGGGCGUAAAGAGCUUGUAGGCGGUUUGUCGCGUCUGCUGUGAAGGCCGGAGCUUAACUCCGUGUAUUGCAGUGGGUACGGGCAGACUAGAGUGCAGUAGGGGAGACUGGAAUUCCUGGUGUAGCGGUGGAAUGCGCAGAUAUCAGGAGGAACACCGAUGGCGAAGGCAGGUCUCUGGGCUGUAACUGACGCUGAGAAGCGAAAGCAUGGGGAGCGAACAGGAUUAGAUACCCUGGUAGUCCAUGCCGUAAACGUUGGGCACUAGGUGUGGGGAACAUUCCACGUUUUCCGCGCCGUAGCUAACGCAUUAAGUGCCCCGCCUGGGGAGUACGGCCGCAAGGCUAAAACUCAAAGAAAUUGACGGGGGCCCGCACAAGCGGCGGAGCAUGCGGAUUAAUUCGAUGCAACGCGAAGAACCUUACCAAGGCUUGACAUAUACUGGACCGCAUCAGAGAUGGUGUUUCCCUUCGGGGCUGGUAUACAGGUGGUGCAUGGUUGUCGUCAGCUCGUGUCGUGAGAUGUUGGGUUAAGUCCCGCAACGAGCGCAACCCUCGUUCUAUGUUGCCAGCACGUUAUGGUGGGGACUCAUAGGAGACUGCCGGGGUCAACUCGGAGGAAGGUGGGGAUGACGUCAAAUCAUCAUGCCCCUUAUGUCUUGGGCUUCACGCAUGCUACAAUGGCCGGUACAGAGGGUUGCGAUACUGUGAGGUGGAGCUAAUCCCUAAAAGCCGGUCUCAGUUCGGAUUGGGGUCUGCAACUCGACCCCAUGAAGUCGGAGUCGCUAGUAAUCGCAGAUCAGCAACGCUGCGGUGAAUACGUUCCCGGGCCU